AUUGAACGCUGGCGGCAUGCCUUACACAUGCAAGUCGAACGGCAGCACGGGAGCAAUCCUGGUGGCGAGUGGCGAACGGGUGAGUAAUAUAUCGGAACGUGCCCAGUCGUGGGGGAUAACGCAGCGAAAGCUGUGCUAAUACCGCAUACGAUCUACGGAUGAAAGCGGGGGAUCGCAAGACCUCGCGCGAUUGGAGCGGCCGAUAUCAGAUUAGCUAGUUGGUGAGGUAAAGGCUCACCAAGGCGACGAUCUGUAGCUGGUCUGAGAGGACGACCAGCCACACUGGAACUGAGACACGGUCCAGACUCCUACGGGAGGCAGCAGUGGGGAAUUUUGGACAAUGGGCGAAAGCCUGAUCCAGCAAUGCCGCGUGCAGGAUGAAGGCCUUCGGGUUGUAAACUGCUUUUGUACGGAACGAAACUGUGAGCCCUAAUACAGUUUGCUAAUGACGGUACCGUAAGAAUAAGCACCGGCUAACUACGUGCCAGCAGCCGCGGUAA
rnacentral:rRNA from 1 species